GUCUGGAGAGGCAUUUCGUACAGUUACACACGUUUGUCUCCUCCUCAAAUGAUCAUUUAAAUGUGUUGGCACAGGGCAGGGGCCACCAAACCAGCCACAGAGGGACUGAGUUAGGAGUGGAAUGCAGCGGAACAUCGUUAAAGCCUCUAACAAAAGAACAAAGCACAGGGCUGGACUUCCUGCUUUGGGAGCUGGGACUCUUUUGAAGAGGCCUUCUGAGCACACUCCCGGGAGAGAUGUCAGGAUCAGCCUUGGCUAACAAACACCUCAAAAGGGAGCCAGAUCACCAGGCCAAACAUUUCCUCAAUUGCACAAUUGCAGAACACUACCUCGUUGGGGUUUACAACACCCCCCAGGCACAGGGGCACCAACUCCCAAAAGCUCACUGUGGUGGGUUUGGGCCGCACAGAGGAAUGAAGCUGUUCACAUGCGAGGAAGAGAGUUGCGAUAACAUAUGUGCGCACAUACAAUCCACACCCUGUAACGUGGACAUAAAGCAUGGAAAAAUUGUGAGACAGGUCUGCGUGGAGCCAACCCUCCACCCACACGCUCACAUCCAGGUAAAAUAAAAUCCCCCGGGGUACACACACAUAAAAAGGAAGAAACAUCCUUUUAAUGGAUUUGCAGACAGACGCGGACACAUACCAGGAGGUGAUGUCAGCAGAGGAGUUGUUGUGAUUUGUGUUUACUUUUUUUUUUUUUGUUGUUUUCUGUCUGAACAGCAGCAUCCUGUUUGCCUCUCUGGGGAUUUAUCUACUGUAUGUGCAUAUACGGCACUGGAUGUGAGUGUGCAUGUGUAUGCAUGAACAAAGGAUGCAGAUAAACUGUUAUGUUUUCAUUUUUAUACUGUAUAUGACCUGUGUUUUGUCUUAUUACACAUGCGCAACCCUAACUCUAAACCCAAAUAUUAGGCUGAUUCUUGUGUUGUCAACAAUUUAAAAGUAUGAUCAUGACAUCUGAAAUAAAAUACUGUUGCUGUCAUAUUAUAGGGUUAUGUUGUUAAUGUUGCUUUACUUACUUGCAUAGGUGGAAAGGUUUUUGUGUACUUGUGUUCGUCAUUUUUUUUU